AGCAGCCGCGGUAAUUCCAGCUCCAAUAGCGUAUAUUAAAGUUGUUGCAGUUAAAAAGCUCGUAGUUGAAUUUCGGGGUUAGUAGGUUGGUCAUGCCUCUGGUAUGUACUGGUCUCACUGAUUCCUCCUUCCUGAUGAGCCGUAAUGCCAUUAAUUUGGUGUUGCGGGGAAUUUGGACUGUUACUUUGAAAAAAUUAGAGUGUUUAAAGCAAGCUAACGCUUGAAUACAUUAGCAUGGAAUAAUGAAAUAGGACGUUCGAUCCUAUUUUGUUGGUUUCUAGGAUUGACGUAAUGAUUAAUAGGGAUAGUUGGGGGCAUUAGUAUUCAAUUGUCAGAGGUGAAAUUCUUGGAUUUAUUGAAGACUAACUACUGCGAAAGCAUUGUGCCAAGGGAUGUUUUCAUUAAUCAAGAACGAAAGUUAGGGGAUCGAAGACGAUCAGAUACCGUCGUAGUCUUAACCAUAAACUAUGCCGACUAGGGA
rnacentral:rRNA from 1 species